rnacentral:tRNA from 2 species
UCUGACGUAGCUCAGUGGUAGAGCCAUCGGCUGUUAACCGAUUGGUCGUAGGUUCGAGUCCUACCGUCAGAGCCA